rnacentral:rRNA from 1 species
AUUGAACGCUGGCGGCAGGCCUAACACAUGCAAGUCGAGCGGUAGAGAGGUGCUUGCACCUCUUGAGAGCGGCGGACGGGUGAGUAAUGCCUAGGAAUCUGCCUGGUAGUGGGGGAUAACGUCCGGAAACGGACGCUAAUACCGCAUACGUCCUACGGGAGAAAGCAGGGGACCUUCGGGCCUUGCGCUAUCAGAUGAGCCUAGGUCGGAUUAGCUAGUUGGUGAGGUAAUGGCUCACCAAGGCGACGAUCCGUAACUGGUCUGAGAGGAUGAUCAGUCACACUGGAACUGAGACACGGUCCAGACUCCUACGGGAGGCAGCAGUGGGGAAUAUUGGACAAUAGGCGAAAGCCUGAUCCAGCCAUGCCGCGUGUGUGAAGAAGGUCUUCGGAUUGUAAAGCACUUUAAGUUGGGAGGAAGGGUACUUACCUAAUACGUGAGUAUUUUGACGUUACCGACAGAAUAAGCACCGGCUAACUCUGUGCCAGCCGCCGCCGUAAAAC